UUUUUUUUGCUUUUGAUUUUGUUAGUGUUCGAAACUUGUUUAUGAGCUAUGAUUUCAUGUUGUUUCAAGAUACUAUGUGUUGUAUAGUUGAUGCAAACAAAUAAUCAAAAGAACAAAUGAUCUUUUUAGGGUUUUUUCUUUCUCGUUUGACUUUUCUACUUGCUAAUUUGUUCAGUAAGUUUGUUAUUGUUUGAAAUUUGCGUAUGAGCUAUGAUUCAUGUUGUUUCAAAAGUCUGUGUGUUGUAUAGCUGGUGCGAAGAAAGAGUUAAAUGAACAAAGGACGUUUUUGUGUGGGUUUUUUAGUCGUUUUGACUACUUUAGUUGCUAAUUUGUUCAGUAAUAUUUGUUUAAUUUUAAUCGAUUGAAAGAUACUACUGUGAACCCUAAAAUUUGUCUGAUCUCCAUUCAUCGACACUAUUUUCUAAUAUACGGUUAUGCCUCUGUUCUGCUAACGAUAAAGUUUCUGUAUAAAUGUUGUCUGACCUAAGAAGUUUGUGAUAGAGGUAUCAUGGAGUUGGUUUUUCUUCCUAAGCGAACAAGAUUUCAUUUUCUUUUAUUUAUUGAUUCUAAUUUCAGGUGCAGUACUCUUUUUUUAUUGUGUUUGUUGCUUUGUUGAACAGAGGUAAAGGGUGGUCUGUCUGUUUUAUAUUGUUACUUUGGUCAAGUAUGAGGGUGGAUCAGAACAUGGGUGCAUCAUCACGUACUGGAUAGAAGUUGAAGGAAUGUCAGACUUGUCUAUUUAUGAGCUUGAAGAUAUCAUCUGGGAUGACUUUGAUCGCAGUGGUGAUCAUAUAGUGCCCCACUCUGGUAACAACCAUGGUAGUGAAGAUAAAUGUGAGGAAGACAGCUGUAAGAAGCCUCGACAUGAAGAAACACCUCUUCAGAGCAAUACAGGCAACCUUUAUGCUUCUGGUGAUGUUUGUCAAGUAAAGGAAGAAAGAGACACUAAGACAUUAAAUGAAAAAAGGAACAUGAUGGAACAAGAUUCAUGGUCUCAUAGACCUGAUGAUGUAUUUGCUGCUUCUGGUGAUGCUGGCACAGCAGAAGACAUGCCUGGUUUACAAAUUGGUGAUGCUGGGAUAUCAAAUCAUUGCUUCAAAAGCAGCAACAUCACCUCUGACAGUGAAUUAUGCACAGAUGAUGGCAUCCCCAAAGAUGCCUCUGCUGCAGUUGAUAGUAACUCCUACAAUUACCCUCCAAGUCACAUCCACCAGUCGGCUGAUCUUAAUUUAUUCUCCAAUGAUUGUGAUGAUAAACAAUCAAGUGAUCUUUUAUAUUAUGGCUGGCCUGAUAUUGGGAACUUUGAGGACGUGGACAGGAUGUUAAGCAAUUGUGAUUCGUCAUUUGGACUGGGCGUUACAGGGAGUGGCGAUGAAUUGGUGUGGUUUACAUCCGAAGAUCCAGCUGGAGGAUAUGAAGAAGCAUUGAAGAUGGACCUCAAGUUUCCAUGUUCAGAGUCAAGUGCUUUAACAAAUAUGUCACAGGAUAAUGGACCUCAUGAAUCAGAUAACAGAUCUAGUUUUGUCUCUGAAAGCGAAGAUCAAUUUAAGCUCAAAGAUCAGAAAAAACAGUCAAAGCAACAGAAUCAGACAGAAGGAAAGAAAGCAGGUCGGUGUGUUGUAAAUUAUGGUUUGAAAAGCAAUGACAUUCGGCUUUCUUCAAGCGAUGAAUCUGAUCAAGUUUUCACCUCCAUAGGCAACUGGCAGCAAAAUAAAAGCUUAGAACAUGAUUCUUUUCGCUACAAGCAGAGCAGCUCUUAUCUGCAUUCAGGUCAUGAUCAUGUUCCAAUGCAAACUAACGGUGCCCAGGUGAUGACUGGAAUCAAAUCUGAAAAUAAGGGUCUCGCAGCUCCUUUCCGAAAAGAAGCUUCCAAUGCAACAAACCAGGUUCAUUCAGUGGAGAGUCUCGGUGAUUCUUUAUUUCAGGGGGCUGCUUUUGAAAUCUCUGAGAGAAGAAAAGUACAUCAUGCACAUGCAUCCCAGCCUUCACUUAGUGGAAACCAAAAACAAAUGGGUAUGAUGCUUCAGGCUUCAGGAAAUGACCUGUUCUCAUCCCAAAAGCAAUUCCAUAUUUUGGAAAAAAAACCUGAAAGCCAAAAUGAUAUGGAGGAAGUUAAGAAAGGAGCUUCUGCAGAAUUAGCUAUGAUAGGUGUACCAGAAGGCUCUUCCAUUAGUUCUGAGGUGGAUGAAAUCUCACUAGAAGCAACUAGUUUCCUCCAGCUUCAACAGGUUAUGGAACAGGUAGGAUGACAUUGCCUUUCUUCAUCAAGGAAUCUGGUUUUUGCAUUAGAGGUCUUAAUACUAUCAUGAUAUAAGUACAGAUUAUAUUCAUCAUUGGACAUCCCUGUUGUAUCCACUGGUUAACGCAGAAGCUUUGAACAUCCCUAUUGCAUUAUCAAUGUUUCUAAAAGUUGGACUGCUUAAUUGUAGCCACACAUGUCAAAAUCCUAAACUUGCAUUCCUAGCCCCUUUUCUUGUUAGAAUUCUGCAUGUUGUAUGCUAUUAAUACAUAUCCUCAAGGCACAGUUGUUUUGCUUGGCAUUCCCCCAUCUAAUGCAAGGUAAAAUUUGAACCGUAUUUAUUACUACCUGUAGAUGCAUAUCAGCCCACAUCAAGGAGAAAUAUGUGACGUUCUUGAGCUACCAAAGCAUCCAGUUAUUAUGUUAAUAAGUUUUUGAUGCAUAUCAGCCCUCAUCAAGUAGACGGUUUCUAUAGAGAAUGAAGAUACAAACUUCAAGAAAAACUAAGAACUAAAGGAAAUGCUCCAAGUUGCAUUAAUUUCCGUGUCAAGCUGAUAAGCCGUACACUGGAGGUAUAAUUUGGUUAUUGUGCAAAGGUAAAGAACACAAGCUGGUUUUUUUAGAAAUCAAUUUGGAUCGUUGCCAUAAAGAAGCAUAGGAGAAGCUAUAUUCUUAAUGAAACAAUUUACUGGAAGAUACUAGGGCAGCUAGAAAUUUGCAUAUCGUACUUAUAUUAAUCAAGGUGAUCAGCCAGCUGUUAAGGCCUCUAUUGGCCUCGAUAGGCAGGUAUUAAGCUGGGAGUCUGUAAGAGUACAUAAGAUUGAAGACCUAACUGCAGCAGUAUUGAUGAUUUCAUGAUCUUCAAUCUAGCCUUGGAUUGAUGUAGUAUUGUAGAGGGAGGAAAAAAGGAUUCUGCAAUAUUAUUCAGAGGUAGGGGUAUGACCAGUUCAACAUGAGGGAAAUGGUCAAGAGAUAUUCAAAUAUUCAAACCCUUAAAUAGAAGAACAUGGAGAGAUGUCAUUCAUGUUCUAGAGUCCUACUCAUCUCUUCUAAUUUUUAGCGCUUUCAUAUUAUUCAUACCAUAACCACUUUUAAAGUAUGGGGUGGGAAUCAAAAAGGUUUUGUUGUCGCUGUGGAGCUAAGUCUUCCCUGUAGACACUUCACUAGCACGUCUUGUUGGCCAAAAAUGGUUGUAUAGCAGACUUCAUGUUCGUUAAAGGCAAUUUAACAUUCCCAUUAUAUAGUUCUAAAAUAAUGUAAUAGUUUGCUCCAACUGAACCCAAAAGGUAAUGAGCCCAGAAUGCCAUGACUAAUGUAAUUAAUAUAGCAGAAGCAUCUAUUUUUAAUCAUUUUAGCUGUGAGUGAGCAACAUUUGGAAUACCUGGAAGGGCCUAUCAAGUGCAAAGGAAGUUAUUAGAACACAUUGCUAAGCAAUGAAAAGAAGUGCAGCAAAGCACUUCAGCAGAAGUAUGGAAAUCCAAUCCAAGUUAAGGUAGACAAGUGGUAAAGGAACUUUGCCUUCUCUAGGAUAGAUGUAUCCUAUAACAUGCUUAUCUGUUGUCCAAGGACUGAAGGAGAAUGUAAACGCCCAUAGCCCUAUGGACCCUGUGUAUCAUUCACAUGGUUCGUACCUAGUGGUUCAAUUGCUCACAAUCAGGUGCCCUACGUAUAAUUGAUACUGUGAUUGUAUUUAUGAGAGAUACCCAUCGGGUUAGAGGAACUCAAGGUGUUGCAAGCCACGGUUCUUGACAGGUGCUAGAAAUUGUGGUCAGCAUUUUAGUGUGACGAUGUUUAUAUGCAAGAGAAAGAUAAAAGGGUAACAAAAUGUCGUUCACUUGGGUGGAUGUCAAACACGUGGCCAACCGAUGUUAAAGGCAAAGGCAACCUUGUGCAGUAAUUGAAAUUUGACAAUCAGUGAACGCUGGUUUUGCAAUUCUUUUAGGUUAACAAUGAGAAAUGAAACCAACAAAGAAUGAAGGAAUAAGUUCUAUGAUGUUGAACAAGACAUAAUAGGUAGUUCUUACAAAAACAUUGAAUUGUAAUAUAGGUAAAGAUGAUUUUGAAGUUGAAAAACUGAAGCAUACUAGACAUCU